GCCUACGGGACGCAGCAGUGAGGAAUAUUGGUCAAUGGUCGGGAGACUGAACCAGCCAAGCCGCGUGAGGGAGGAAGGUACAGAGUAUCGUAAACCUCUUUUGUCAGGGAACAAAGGCGGGGACGUGUCCCCGGAUGAGUGUACCUGAAGAAAAAGCAUCGGCUAACUCCGUGCCAGCAGCCGCGGUAAUACGGAGGAUGCGAGCGUUAUCCGGAUUUAUUGGGUUUAAAGGGUGCGCAGGCGGUCUGUUGAGUCAGCGGUCAAAGCCCGGGGCGCAACCCCGGCCCGCCGUUGACACUGGCAGG
rnacentral:rRNA from 1 species